UAGGGAAUCUUCCGCAAUGGACGCAAGUCUGACGGAGCAACGCCGCGUGAGUGAAGAAGGAUUUCGGUUCGUAAAACUCUGUUGUUAGAGAAGAACAGCGCAUAGAGUAACUGUUAUGCGUGUGACGGUAUCUAACCAGAAAGCCACGGCUAACUACGUGCCAGCAGCCGCGGUAAUACGUAGGUGGCAAGCGUUGUCCGGAUUUAUUGGGCGUAAAGCGAGCGCAGGCGGUCAAUUAAGUCUGAUGUGAAAGCCCCCGGCUCAACCGGGGAGGGUCAUUGGAAACUGGUUGACUUGAGUGCAGAAGAGGAGAGUGGAAUUCCAUGUGUAGCGGUGAAAUGCGUAGAUAUAUGGAGGAACACCAGUGGCGAAGGCGACUUUCUGGUCUGUAACUGACGCUGAGGCUCGAAAGCGUGGGUAGCAAACAGG
rnacentral:rRNA from 1 species